CCUGGAAGAGACAAAACAGGAGAGAAAACCCUCAUGGCAAAAAUGGAAACUUGACUUCUGACCCAGCUGGUAGAAAAGCCUCUUGGAGAUUGGAGUUCAGGCUACUGUUAAUGAGUUUUGAGUAAUCCUGUGCAUUUGGGUUUGCCCCUCACUCCUGUACCAGCAGGAAGAGAACAGACCGGCCUUUUGAUCUCCCUUUUUGUUUGCAGAGCUAAGGGGCUUCUUUUGUACCUUUUUAAAUAUUAAAUACCCCACUCAGUACAAAGGAGAGUCAAACACCGUGUGGUAACACACCCUAUAAAACAAACAGACACAACACACAUUCAAAGGAUGAGGAUUAUCCUGUAGGAUCUGUCCAGAUGGGGAUGCUGCAAAGGCAGUUUGGAUUGCAAUACACUCAAACACUUCCAUGUCCUCUGUAAGGGACACACUCCACAGCUUUUCACAUGUGUGUGCUCUGAGUCCUGCCUGGUUUUUAGCACUGAACACUCAACUGGAUUGUCUGGAAGCAGAGAAAAUGGAUUGAUUUAGGAAAGUCACACAGUGUGCUCUAAUUCUAAGCACUGCCAAACUAUCUCCUCUGUGUAAAAUGGUUUUCAGGUGCUGAAGAUGAUGGUGAGAGCAAGUGCUCCUGUUUGCUGCGGCACAAGAGCCUCAGGCUGAUGAUCUGUGGGGAUGACUGGGAGGAGACAGUGAAACAUUGAUAGAGCCAUUUGUCUUUUAACUAUUUUUGGUUAUUACCAGGUGUUUGCUGAUCAAAAUGAUCACAGCAACAAUCAGUGCAGGGGGUCUGGUGUCAGGUCUGGGAGCAGCUGAUGGCAUUUAUUGAGUCACACAGGCUAAGAUCUCUUCCCAAAGCAGGAGAGGAAGGACCACAUCAGAAAGUCUGUUACACAGUUGGUAACUGCAGGUAUUCCACUUUCCCCAAAGCUGUCAGCACAAUAACAUGUACAGUGGGAUAUUUCAGAUCACUUUUGAAGCAGCUGUACAGUGCAGGGCUUCACAAGGACCACGCUGCCACAAGAGGCAGCUCCCAUUUCCACCAGACACACUGAGGUGCAGGCAGGCAUCUCCUGGCAGCUAAAGGCACUCCGAGUUCCACACCAGCCAUGAGCUCUUUAAAAAUUUACCUUUAGGAAAAAAAAUGAAGCAUUGCCCUGAGAGUUUAAAGAAAUGGAGAACACAUCACUGAUAUUUUCUGAGGUUGGUAUGACAAGCAGCUACUCACCAUUUCUUCAGUAUGGUCUUUUUCCACUGGAACUGUGCUGGCACCUGGAAGAAAAACCAAUUAUUAGAGAUUCAUUAACACAAGCAUCGCUGACAGGAGUCCUCAGUCAAAUUGGUCUGAUGAGACAGCUUGGGUUUUGGAUUGGCAGACAACUAAACCAGGCACAUUCCACAUUAAAUCUUUCCUUAUUUGGAUGGAAAAGCCACAUAAAAUUGAGGCAUAGCAGGAGAGAAGAGCCACAUUAACACUUGUAGCACCAAAAUAAUAUACACCAAGAAUAAUCCCACUCACAAUAAAUGCAACACCAAAGAAAGCCACAUUCAAAUUCCAAAAUGGAACUUUACUUCAAACCAGGUCCUUAUGUCGUAGCACCUGUUUGAUGGU